GUGGGACGAUUUCGUCCCACUGGCCCUAGAGAAGUUAUGUCAGUAGUCUAGUGUGAGGGGUUAUGUCAGUAGUCUAGUGUAAAGGGUUAUGUCAGUAGUCUAGUAUGAGGGGUUAUGUAGUAGUCUAGUGUGAGGGGUUAUGUCAGUAGUCUAGUGUGAGGGGUUAUGUCAGUAGUCUAGUGUGAGGGGUUAUGUCAAGAGAAACAGUGUUGCAGUAGUCUAUGUGAGGGGUUAUGUCAGUAGUCUAGUGUGAGGGGUUAUGUCAAGAAAAACAUGUGAGGGGUUAUGUCAGUAGUCUAGUGUGAGGGGUUAUGUCAAGAAAAACAGUGUUGCAGUAGUCUAGUGUAAGGGAUUAUGUCAGUAGUCUAGUGUCAGUGGUUAUGUCAGUAGUCUAGUGUGAGGGAUUAUGUCAGGGGGAACCAGUGUUGCAG
rnacentral:lncRNA from 1 species